GACGAACGCUGGCGGCGUGCUUAACACAUGCAAGUCGAGCGGAAAGGCCCUUUCGGGGGUACUCGAGCGGCGAACGGGUGAGUAACACGUGAGCAACCUGCCCUGGACUUUGGGAUAACCCUCGGAAACGGGGGCUAAUACCGAAUAUUACUGAUCCUCGCAUGGGGGUUGGUGGAAAGUUUUUCGGUCUGGGAUGGGCUCGCGGCCUAUCAGCUUGUUGGUGGGGUAAUGGCCUACCAAGGCGACGACGGGUAGCCGGCCNGAGAGGGCGACCGGCCACACUGGGACUGAGACACGGCCCAGACUCCUACGGGAGGCAGCAGGUGGGGAAUAUUGCACAAUGGGCGGAAGCCUGAUGCAGCGACGCCG
rnacentral:rRNA from 1 species